UACAGAGGUCUUGAGCGUUGUUCGGAUUCAUUGGGCGUAAAGGGCGCGUAGGCGGCGGGGCAAGUCGGGUGUGAAAUCUCAGAGCUCAGCUCUGAAACUGCACUCGAUACUGCUUUGCUUGAGGACUGGAGAGGAGAUUGGAAUUCACGGUGUAGCAGUGAAAUGCGUAGAUAUCGUGAGGAAGACCAGUGGCGAAGGCGGAGCUCUGGACAGUUCCUGGCGCUGAGGCGCGAAGGCCAGGGGAGCAAACGGG
rnacentral:rRNA from 1 species